rnacentral:rRNA from 1 species
UGGGGAAUUUUGGACAAUGGGCGAAAGCCUGAUCCAGCAAUGCCGCGUGUGUGAAGAAGGCCUUCGGGUUGUAAAGCACUUUUGUCCGGAAAGAAAUCCUUGGCUCUAAUACAGUCGGGGGAUGACGGUACCGGAAGAAUAAGCACCGGCUAACUACGUGCCAGCAGCCGCGGUAAUACGUAGGGUGCAAGCGUUAAUCGGAAUUACUGGGCGUAAAGCGUGCGCAGGCGGUUUGCUAAGACCGAUGUGAAAUCCCUGGGCUCAACCUGGGAACUGCAUUGGUGACUGGCAGGCUAGAGUAUGGCAGAGGGGGGUAGAAUUCCACGUGUAGCAGUGAAAUGCGUAGAGAUGUGGAGGAAUACCGAUGGCGAAGGCAGCCCCCUGGGCCAAUACUGACGCUCAUGCACGAAAGCGUGGGGAGCAAACAGGAUUAGAUACCCUGGUAGUCCACGCCCUAAACGAUGUCAACUAGUUGUUGGGGAUUCAUUUCCUUAGUAACGUAGCUAACGCGUGAAGUUGACCGCCUGGGGAGUACGGUCGCAAGAUUAAAACUCAAAUGAAUUGACGGGGUCAUAGCUGUUUCCU